GAUGAACGCUGGCGGCGUGCCUAAUACAUGCAAGUCGAGCGAACGGACGAGAAGCUUGCUUCUCUGAUGUUAGCGGCGGACGGGUGAGUAACACGUGGAUAAACUACCUAUAAGACUGGGAUAACUUCGGGAAACCGGAGCUAAUACAGGAUAAUAUUUUGAACCGCAUGGUUCAAAAGUGAAAGACGGUCUUGCUGUCACUUAUAGAUGGAUCCGCGCUGCAUUAGCUAGUUGGUAAGGUAACGGCUUACCAAGGGAACGAUGCAUAGCCGACCUGAGAGGGGGAUCGGCCACACUGGAACGGAGACACGGUCAAGACUCCUACGGGAGGCAGCAGUAGGGAAUCUUCCGCAAUGGGCGAAAGCCUGACGGAGAAACGCCGCGUGAUGGAUGAAGGUCUUCGGAUCGUAAAACUCUUUUAUUAGGGAAGAACAUAUGUGUAAGUAACUGUGCACAUCUUGACGGUACCUAAUCAGAAAGCCACGGCUAACUACGUG
rnacentral:rRNA from 1 species